rnacentral:lncRNA from 1 species
UCAGCCUGCUGUAGCUCAUUGCCAACGACGGCUACAAGCAGAUGGGCCAGUUCUACUAUGCAGCUAAGGCUUCCGAUGUAAAGAUUGGACCCCAAUCCUGAAUACUGGGAAGGCAAGGGAGGGGCGUGCGUGGGCGUAUUCCAGCAGAUCAUAGCUGGCCAUGAACCAAGAGAAACACUGCGAGACAUCCUCCAAAUCUUGCGCAACAC